UACGGGGGGGGCAAGCGUUGUUCGGAAUUACUGGGCGUAAAGGGCGCGUAGGCGGCCUGCUAAGUCGGAUGUGAAAUCCCUCGGCUCAACCGAGGAACUGCAUCCGAUACUGGCGGGCUUGAAUCCGGGAGAGGGAUGCGGAAUUCCAGGUGUGGCGGUGAAAUGCGUAGAUAUCUGGAGGAACACCGGUGGCGAAGGCGGCAUCCUGGACCGGCAUUGACGCUGAACAGCGAAAGCCAGGGGAGCAAACGGG
rnacentral:rRNA from 1 species